GAAAAGGGUGGUAAUGCCGGAUGCUCCAGUUGAUCGCAUGGUCUUCUGGGAAAGCUUUCGCGGUAUGGGAUGGGGUCGCGUCCUAUCAGCUUGACGGCGGGGUAACGGCCCACCGUGGCUUCGACGGGUAGCCGGCCUGAGAGGGCGACCGGCCACAUUGGGACUGAGAUACGGCCCAGACUCCUACGGGAGGCAGCAGUGGGGAAUAUUGCACAAUGGGCGCAAGCCUGAUGCAGCGACGCCGCGUGAGGGAUGGAGGCCUUCGGGUUGUAAACCUCUUUUAUCGGGGAGCAAGCGAGAGUGAGUUUACCCGUUGAAUAAGCACCGGCUAACUACGUGCCAGCAGCCGCGGUAAUACGUAGGGUGCAAGCGUUAUCCGGAAUUAUUGGGCGUAAAGGGCUCGUAGGCGGUUCGUCGCGUCCGGUGUGAAAGUCCAUCGCUUAACGGUGGAUCCGCGCCGGGUACGGGCGGGCUUGAGUGCGGUAGGGGAGACUGGAAUUCCCGGUGUAACGGUGGAAUGUGUAGAUAUCGGAA
rnacentral:rRNA from 1 species